rnacentral:tRNA from 1 species
CGCGCCGAAACGGGCCGAAAUCGGCCGACACGUGGAAUCAUAAUCCUUGUGUCGGGGGUUCAAAUCCCUCCCUCGCUACCA